GGUGCAGGUCCUGUGCAGGUAUCUGCAAAUGAAGAUGCUGAUUCAGAGAAUGCAGGGGUCUACAGCCUGGUCACUUCUGUACCAUCCACAACUUUACCAUUAGGUCCUUUUGAAGAAAAUGGUUCUUUGAGACUGUGGUCCCAGC